rnacentral:sRNA from 1 species
AUUUCAGCCCAAGCAAAAGAAGAAUCGGGUACAUAUGCUAUCAUGGUGCCGCCAGGAUGCUAUUCGAAUCAAGCCGUACAUUAAAAUGUCAAGCGAAUGUCCUAUGAAUCAAGAAACGGUUGUUGAAUGUUGAUCGGCGAUUUCUGGCGGAGGAUCAGGUGGACGAUUGGCGGGGAUUGGCAAUUUUGGCGUUGUGUGGAGACCCAAGCGAUGGACAGGGUCUUUUCGCAAGAAUGCCCGGUAGGGAGGAGGGCGAAAUAUUUGUUGUUCUUGUAACUAUGGGCUGGGUGUAAUCGUGAUGUGGUCUUUCCUGCCGUGGGUUAGGUCUAUGCAUUGUUGAUAUGGUUUUUUGUCUCCAGAGAAACAGUGCUUGAUGUGUUGUAUGUGUGAGUUAGAGAGAGAGAGAGAAAGAGAGAGAGAGAGACAGGAGGGAGCGAGCUGAAACAAGCGACAUUUAUUACGAAUUUACGAGCUGGCACAUUUUGGACUAUUUGAUGCAUUGCUUUGGUAGGUAAAGAUCAUCGAAAUGAUUUUGGCGACCAUAGGGUCAUGGAAGUACUGCGUACGCAGCGCACGCAGUCGAUCGCGUUUCGCAGAAGAUUCAAUUUUAUUUGAAGGCGUUGAUUUGCUCAAUUCUCCCCCAACUCCCCGGCCUUGCAAAUUGAAGGAUAGCAGGAUCUCAAUGAGCCCUGCGCCACAGAAGAACUUCGGCCAAAAUCGGCAAAUGACAUCCGU